CAGGAAGAACAUGUGGCCAUGGCAUUACCGAGUGCCUCUGAUAUGUUGAGACAGGUCAGAUCACGCUGCUUCAUCUCACAGAGUGACGCGAGAUGUUACAGCUGUGUGACGAGGGGUUUCAUACGAACAAAAUUGAAAGAAUGUGUGUGUCAAUAUACAAUGACCUUCCCUCGACACACACACAGAGGAAUCAGAAGCUACAUCAUCAGGCCUCGGGGGUUUGUGUGGGGCUGUGGUUGAGCAGAUUCUCAGAGCUGAUCUUGUUAUACUGGCUGUGUAUCUGCACAGAGAAUAAAUUAUAUCUAUAAACU